rnacentral:rRNA from 1 species
AACGUAGGGGGCGAGCGUUGUCCGGAUUUACUGGGCGUAAAGCGUGCGCAGGCGGCCCGUUAAGACAGGUGUGAAAUCCCUGGGCUCAACCUAGGAAUUGCGCUUGUGACUGGCGGGCUCGAGUACGGUAGAGGGGGGUGGAAUUCCUGGUGUAGCAGUGAAAUGCGUAGAGAUCAGGAGGAACACCGAUGGCGAAGGCAGCCCCCUGGGCCUGUACUGACGCUCAUGCACGAAAGCGUGGGGAGCAAACAGG